UACGUAGGGGGCAAGCGUUGUCCGGAAUCAUUGGGCGUAAAGGCUCGUAGGCGGCCAACUAAGUCAUACGUGAAAUCCCUCAGCUUAACUGGGGGAACUGCGUGUGAUACUGGAUGGCUUGGAUUUGGGAGAGGGAUGCGGAAUUCCAGGUGUAGCGGUGAAAUGCGUAGAUAUCUGGAGGAACACCGGUGGCGAAGGCGGCAUCCUGGACCAAUAUUGACGCUGAGGCACGAAAGCGUGGGGAGCAAACAGG
rnacentral:rRNA from 1 species